AAUUUUCGUUACAUUUGAUCUGUAAGAAUUCAAUUUUGAAUCAUUUUCAUUUCAAAUUGAUUCACACACAUAGCAGACGCCAACACAUCAAGCGUCAUCAAUAGCGUGGUCUAUGGUGCAAUGCUAUCGCUGGAGUAAGUUGUUUACCUUCAAUUCGGGUAGCGUCAUGAUUGGACUACCCUGAUGGCGUCAUGAUCGCUGCUGAUUGCCUUUCAAAUAGGUUUUCAGCAUUCUGCUUACACCUUUGGCAUAGAGUCACAUAUUUCACAAUCCAACAUCAAUUGGUAGCAACAGCAGCCCUUCUCUCCAUCAUCCAGAAGGGUCUGAGAUCAGUGUUGGAGAUGAUGGUUCGGAACAACCCAUGGAAAGCUUAUCACUCAUUGAUGCUGUGAUGCCUGAUGUUGUUGCAAGUCGUCAACAGCAAACACAGAACAAUCAGAAACCACAAGUGGUAAAGACAGAACCACCAAAUUCCAAUGGAGAUGAACCCAUGCAUUCCUAUCGCUGGGAAGAGGAAACAGGAGUAGAGAUACCUGCCAGCAAAUCAACUGUACCGGUAAGACUCCAUUUUAUGGUGUAGAUUUCCUUGUUGUGUGCUUGCGAAUCAUGAACACAAGUGUCUUGUUACAUGUACCACAUCUAGGAAAAGGAUCGGACACAUUUGAUUUGAUAGUAUUUUGACAAGACCCAAUGAUGAAAACAUAGAUAAUUAUGACAUGUCAUUUGUGAGCGAUGAUGAAAUGUAAAUUUAACAUUCAACUGAUUUUUAAAUCAUAUUAUCUUAUUUUUAUUGAUGUAUAAAAUGUAUUGGCACUGGUUACCUGAAUAGCAUUCAGGUUCCCAAUCUGAGCCAGAAGCCAAUAAAUCAGUUGUUGGGUUCAGGCGCAGAUGAAAACUUCAGAUUCAUGGCCACGUAGUACAGUUGAUUUGCUGGCAGGUAUCUCUACUCCUGUUUCCUCUUCCCAGCCUUCAUUAAAUAGUUGAAGGGAAAAUAAGUAAGUAGUUCAGGGGAUCAAAGAAAAGUAUUGACCAUCUUACGAUAGGAAUGCAUGGGUUCAUCUCCAUUGGAAUUUGGUGGUUCUGUCUUUACCACUUGUGGUUUCUGAUUGUUCUGUGUUUGCUGUUGACGACUUGCAACAACAUCAGGCAUCACAGCAUCAAUGAGUGAUAAGCUUUCCAUGGGUUGUUCCGAACCAUCCUGAAAAACAAAAACAUACACGAGUAAAAAUUUGGUGGUAGAUAAAUUUCAUCAUAUUAAAAUUGUCACUCACAUCUCCAACACUGAUCUCAGACCCUUCUGGAUGAUGGAGAGAAGGGCUGCUGUUGCUACCAAUUGAUGUUGGAUUGUGAAAUAUGUGACUCUAUGCCAAAGGUGUAAGCAGAAUGCUGAAAACCUAUUUGAAAGGCAAUCAGCAGCGAUCAUGACGCCAUCAGGGUAGUCCAAUCAUGACGCUACCUAUUCACACAAGUUGAUAAUUACAAUAGUAGCAACUUAAGAUUGAAAAUAACAUGAUAUAAUUCUCUAACAUACCCGAAUUGAAGGUAAACAACUUACUCCAGCGAUAGCAUUGCACCAUAGACCACGCUAUUGAUGACGCUUGAUGUGUUGGCGUCUGCUAUGUGUGUGAAUCAAUUUGAAAUGAAAAUGAUUCAAAAUUGAAUUCUUACAGAUCAAAUGUAACGAAAAUUGUAAUUCAAAUUUUAAAAUGAUUAAAAAUAAAAUGUACACAUGUUGAA